ACAGGGCCACGAGCAGUUCUUAUGGAAUAUGGUUUGAUAUAUAUUUUGUUGAGAUGGCCUAACACCAUUGAUUUUUGGUUGCAUUCCACUAACAGAACAUGGCAAGAUCAAGGUUAUGGUCAGGGUUGGUUGGUGAUCCUCAGUGCUGCUGUGCAGUAGAAGGUGAGUUUGAGGUGAGAGGAACAAGUAGGAAAGAGUGAUCCCAUGAACCACCUCUUCACUUUCUCAGCUUUCAUCCCCACCUAGGUUUUGUAAGCCUGGAACUUGGGAGACUGUUCUGUAGCCCAGGUCUCCUAAGAUUGGCUGCUGGACUUGCCUGAGUUGAGGGUGCAGUGGGUUGACCCUGGGCUGCCCAGCAUUCAUGUGGAAGUGAAGGAAGGAGGACUGGUCAAUCCCAUUUGAAAGCAUCCCUCUCUGCAGCCCACACCAUCUUCCAAUGACACGGACAGAGGUGUGCCCUUCUACAGUACUGGGACCAAAAUUCAGAAGUGUCUGCAACCUUGCUUUAACAGUGUGGGAAAUAACCUCUAUCACCUGGAAUUUCCCUGGAACUUUGGAAUAUACAAGAGAAUGGCGGUGCAAGGGCUGCGGCACAGCUAGCAGAGCCGGGGCGAGGAGGACAGCGCCUGCAUCGAGCUCUCCACCUCCCCUGCCCGCCAGCCCAGGCGGCCUCAGCAGCAGCGACCAGAGGAGCCCCUGCAGCAAUGCAACGGCCA